rnacentral:rRNA from 1 species
UACGUAGGGGGCAAGCGUUGUCCGGAUUUAUUGGGCGUAAAGAGCGUGUAGGCGGCCAGGUAGGUCUGCUGUGAAAACUCGAGGCUUAACCUCGAGCUGUCGGCGGAAACCAUCUGGCUAGAGUCCGGAAGAGGAGAAUGGAAUUCCCGGUGUAGCGGUGAAAUGCGCAGAUAUCGGGAAGAACACCCGUGGCGAAGGCGGCCAUCUGGAUCAACACUGACGCUGAGGCACGAAAGCGUGGGGAGCAAACAGG